UGAGGAAUAUUGGUCAAUGGGAGAGAUCCUGAACCAGCCAAGCCGCGUGAGGGAAGACGGCCCUAUGGGUUGUAAACCUCUUUUGUCGGAGAACAAAACCCGGGACGUGUCCCGGACUGCGUGUAUCCGAGAAAAGCAUCGGCUAACUCCGUGCC
rnacentral:rRNA from 1 species